UGGGGGAUAUUGCACAAUGGGCGAAAGCCUGAUGCAGCGACGCCGCGUGAGGGAAGACGGUCUUCGGAUUGUAAACCUCUGUCUUCGGGGACGAUAAUGACGGUACCCGAGGAGGAAGCCACGGCUAACUACGUGCCAGCAGCCGCGGUAAUACGUAGGUGGCGAGCGUUGUCCGGAAUUACUGGGUGUAAAGGGAGCGUAGGCGGGUGCUCAAGUCAAAUGUUAAAUCUAUCGGCUCAACCGAUAGCUGCGUUUGAAACUGGGCAUCUUGAGUGAAGUAGAGGUAGGCGGAAUUCCUAGUGUAGCGGUGAAAUGCGUAGAUAUUAGGAGGAACACCAGUGGCGAAGGCGGCCUACUGGGCUUUUACUGACGCUGAGGCUCGAAAGCGUGGGGAGCAAACA
rnacentral:rRNA from 1 species